UACGGAGGGGGCGAGCGUUAUUCGGAAUUAUUGGGCGUAAAGGGCGCGUAGGCGGCUUGUCAAGUCAAAGGUGAAAUCCCUCGGCUCAACUGAGGAACUGCCUUUGAAACUAGCGAGCUUGAGUCCGGGAGGGGGUAGCGGAAUUCCCAGUGUAGCGGUGAAAUGCGUAGAUACUGGGAGGAACACCAGUGGCGAAGGCGGCUACCUGGACCGGUUCUGACGCUGAGGCGCGAAAGCGUGGGUAGCAAACAGG
rnacentral:rRNA from 1 species